UCGGGUGUGUAAGCGUAGCGAUACGUUGAGCUAACCGAUACUAAUGAACCGUGAGGCUUAACCUUACAACGCCGAAGGUGUUU
rnacentral:rRNA from 1 species